ACAGAAUCGGAGUUACAGCUGGAUGUGGAAAAAAUAACUGAGUUGUUUGGUGGUGCUAUAACGCGGAGCUACAACAGUGGGCAGCUAUCCACCGGUGUAUGACAGAAAGGACAUGCCGCGACCGCCGAUCGACCGGUGUUUGCUAACGCGGAGGUCAAUCGUGGAUCAGGGAAAGCGAAGGCAGGAGCGUGAGGUGAACUGAAUUUCAGGUAAGAAGUUAUGAACUGCACUCUAUUUGGGUCAGAUAUAAACAGAG
ensembl:lncRNA